rnacentral:rRNA from 1 species
UACAGAGGGGCCAGCGUUAUUCGGAAUUAUUGGGCGUAAAGGGCGCGUAGGCGGCCAUGCGUGUCUUCCGUGAAAUCCCUCGGCUUAACUGAGGACGUGCGGAAGAAACUGCAAGGCUCGAGUCCGGGAGAGGGGGGUGGAAUUCCCAGUGUAGCGGUGAAAUGCGUAGAUAUUGGGAGGAACACCGGUGGCGAAGGCAGAUCUCUGGGACGGUACUGACGCUGAGACGCGAAAGCGUGGGGAGCGAACAGG